rnacentral:rRNA from 1 species
UCGAGGAUCUUCGGCAAUGGGCGCAAGCCUGACCGAGCGACGCCGCGUGUGCGAUGAAGGCCUUCGGGUUGUAAAGCACUGUCGAGGGGGAGAAAGCCCGCAAGGGUUGAUCGACCUCUGGAGGAAGCACGGGCUAAGUUCGUGCCAGCAGCCGCGGUAAGACGAACCGUGCGAACGUUGUUCGGAAUCACUGGGCUUAAAGGGCGCGUAGGCGGGCAACCAAGUCAGGGGUGAAAGCCCACGGCUCAACCGUGGAAGUGCCUUUGAUACUGGCUGUCUGGAGGGAGGUAGGGGCGUGCGGAACUUCCGGUGGAGCGGUGAAAUGCGUAGAUAUCGGAAGGAACACCGGUGGCGAAAGCGGCACGCUGGACCUCUACUGACGCUGAGGCGCGAAAGCUAGGGGAGCAAACGGGAUUAGAUACCCCCGUAGUCC